CCACUCUUCAGUGGAACACCAGGAUCUCACUAGGGACCUUGCUGAUGUGCUGAUGCAUGCUUUGAGGACAUACAGCACUCUCCUACAAGUGGUGAUUCGAGAUGUCCUAAGUGGCUCCCUGAUGUGUCAUGGUGAGGUGAUAUUCCAGCCCUCUGCUCCCUCCAGCAUGGAUGUCCUUAAAACUCUUGUUGAUUCAGUUGGUCCAAAUGAUGCCUUGGCUGGGUCACACUUCCAGG
rnacentral:lncRNA from 1 species